rnacentral:rRNA from 1 species
AUGUCAGCGGUUCGAGUCCGCUUAUCUCCAGCCCGUGAACUUAGCGGAUACUAUGAUAGCGAUAGCACCGAAUUUUGCCAAUUCGGCAGUUCGAUCUAUGAUUUCACAUUCAUGGACGUUGAUAAGAUCCUUCCAUUUAGUAGCACCUUAGGAUGGCAUAGCCUUAACGUUAAUGGCGAGGUUCGAAAGAGGAAAGGCUUGCGGUGGAUACCUAGGCACCCAGAGACGAGGAAGGGCGUAGUAAGGGAAAGGGAUUGACGGGGGCCCGCACAAGCGGUGGAGCAUGUGGUUUAA